rnacentral:misc_RNA from 1 species
AGCAGCCGCGGUAAUUCCAGCUCCAAUAGCGUAUAUUAAAGUUGUUGCAGUUAAAAAGCUCGUAGUUGAAUUUCGGGAUCAAAGGAUCGGUCAUGCCUUGGUAUGUACUGGUUUUAUUGGUUCUCACCUUCUAAAGAACCAUAAUGUCAUUCAUUUGAUGUUAUGGGGAAUUAGGACUGUUACCUUGAAAAAAUUUAGAGUGUUUAAAGCAGGCUUACGCUUGAAUACAUUAGCAUGGAAUAAUGAAAUAGGACAUCAGAUUCUAUUUUGUUGGUUUCUAGGAUCGAUGUAAUGAUUAAUAGGGAUAGUUGGGGGCAUUAGUAUUCAAUUGUCAGAGGUGAAAUUCUUGGAUUUAUUGAAGACUAACUACUGCGAAAGCAUUUGCCAAGGAUGUUUUCAUUAAUCAAGAACGAAAGUUAGGGGAUCGAAGACGAUCAGAUACCGUCGUAGUCUUAACCAUAAACUAUGCCGACUAGGGAUCGGAUGAUGUUAAUUUUAUAAUGACUCAUUUCGGCACCUU